UAGUAACUGAACAAAUCACAUGGUCUUGUACCGGUGAUGUUUCAUUCAAAUUUCUGCCCUAUCAACUAGAUGGUAGUAUAUAGGACUACCAUGGUUGUAACGGGUAACGGAGGAUUAGGGGUUUGAUUCCGGAGAAGGAGCAUGAGAAACGGCUACUAUUUCUAAGGAAAGCAGCAGGCGCGCAAAAUUAUUCAAUGGAAACAAUUUUCCGAAAUAGUGACAAAAAAUAUCAAUGCUAGGUACUAUGUAUUUAGUAAUUGGAAUGAGUACAAUUUAAAUCCCUUAACAAGUAACAAUUAGAGGGCAAGUCUGGUGCCAGCAGCCGCGGUAAUUCCAGCUCUAAUAGCGUAUAUUAAUAUUGUUGCAGUUAAAAAGCUCGUAGUUGAAAUUUGGAAACUUUAUUAUAUUGGUUUAUCUUUUGAUGUAACUGUAUGAUGGGUUUCUUCCUACUAGAGUUCGAUUCUGUUCUUAACUGAAUGGAGUAGCUAUCUUUCGGGUGGUCAGUUGGUUAUUA
rnacentral:rRNA from 1 species